rnacentral:rRNA from 1 species
CUGGCUCAGGAUGAACGCUAGCGGCAGGCCUAAUACAUGCAAGUCGAACGGGAUAGGCUCCUCGGGAGGCUUGAGAGUGGCGCACGGGUGCGCAACGCGUAUGCAACCAACCCCCCGACGGGCGGAUAGCCGGUGGAAACGCCGGAUAAUACGCCAUGGUUCCCGACCAGGGCAUCCUGGACGGGAUAAAGCCGAGAGGCGGUCGGGGACGGGCAUGCGUCCCAUUAGGUAGUCGGCGGGGUGACGGCCCACCGAGCCUGCGAUGGGUAGGGGAUCUGAGAGGACGGUCCCCCCACACUGGUACUGAGACACGGACCAGACUCCUGCGGGAGGCAGCAGUAAGGGACAUUGGUCAAUGGUCGGAAGACUGAACCAGCCAUGCCGCGUGAGGGAAUGAGGCCCUACGGGUCGUGAACCUCUUUUAUUCGGGGACAAGGACGGCCACGUGAUGGCUGUUUGAGGGUACCGAAGGAAUAAGCGUCGGCUAACUCCGUGCCAGCAGCCGC